rnacentral:rRNA from 1 species
CCUGCUCAGGAUGAACGCUAGCGGCAGGCUUAACACAUGCAAGUCGAGGGGUAUAGUUCUUCGGAAUUAGAGACCGGCGCACGGGUGCGUAACGCGUAUGCAAUCUACCUUUUGCAGAGGGAUAGCCCAGAGAAAUUUGGAUUAAUACCUCAUAGUAUAGCAGUUUCGCAUGAAACCACUAUUAAAGUCACAACGGCAAAAGAUGAGCAUGCGUCCCAUUAGCUAGUUGGUAAGGUAACGGCUUACCAAGGCUACGAUGGGUAGGGGUCCUGAGAGGGAGAUCCCCCACACUGGUACUGAGACACGGACCAGACUCCUACGGGAGGCAGCAGUGAGGAAUAUUGGACAAUGGGCGCAAGCCUGAUCCAGCCAUGCCGCGUGCAGGAUGACGGUCCUAUGGAUUGUAAACUGCUUUUGUACAGGAAGAAACACUCCCUCGUGAGGGAGCUUGACGGUACUGUAAGAAUAAGGAUCGGCUAA